rnacentral:misc_RNA from 1 species
GAUGAAGAACGCAGCGAAAUGCGACAAGUAAUGCGAAUUGCAGAAUUUCCGUGAGUCAUCGAAUCUUUGAACGCACAUUGCACCCACUGGUAUUCCGGUGGGCAUGCCUGUUCGAGCGUCAUUAUCCUCCCUCAAACCCCGGGUUUGGUGUUGGACCGAAGUUGUGUGAACAACUGGUCUAAACGACAAUGACGGCGUCCGUGGGACCCUCGGUGCAACGAGCUUUUAGGAGCACGCGCCGAGUUGCAAGGACCUUCCGGGCCGGUCUCCUUUUACUAUUUUACAAGGUUGACCUCGGAUCAGGUAGGAAUACCCGCUGAACUUAAGCAUAUCAAUAAGCGGAGGA